rnacentral:lncRNA from 1 species
UACAAUCCAAAUCCUCUUGUUAUUCUUCCAUAAUUCACCUUUGGCCCAUUAUAGUUCAUGAUUGAAACUAAAAGAAUAAUACAGUUGCAGAACAUGUUCAUGUACUAAAUUACAUCUUUCAUUUACAAACCAACAAUACAACAUACAAUCAUUUAUUCCAACUUUGACCGGUCCAUAUACGUCUCAAAUCGUAAAUACACGGUUAAACACAGAUGAAUGACCUACCCUAAGACACUAGGUAUUACAAACAAAACGUGGCGAGGUGAGGAUUACUCCGAACAUAGCGAAUGGACAUCAAAAAAGUGAGGUCUGCAGCAUCGCUAACAAAUCUUUAACCACGAAUAACUGACAACAAUGCAGGAGGAAUCUACUAUAGAACCAUCUUGUUUACACCAGAACAAUAGGCCAGCGUUUACAACAGAAUAAUAGGCCAGCUGCAACCUGCAUACCACAAACACGGCAAAAGUAAUCGUCGGUCAUGAGUUAGCAAAGCCAAUAAAAGCAACCAAUUCACAUGGCUCAAAUGGUUUAAGUCAAUGCUAUCACAAGAAUGCGACAUGAGUUAGUCAUACAAACGCGUGGUUAAGCCAAGAUCGACCUGCAAUGAGCCAAACGAAUGCCAAAAGGCCAACUGCAACCUGCACUACACAAAGUCGAUCAAAUAUUGAGCACAAAAGACACAACUAUUUAUUGACUAAAAUCCACUCACAUACCAACUUGGUAAUGCAUGUCUGUCGACAACAACGCAGGAGAAGCAUACGGCCAUAAGCUAGCAAAUAGGCACGAGCCAGGAAACACAUUGGCCACAAGUUUUGCAAUACCUGAACAGCUCCAUAGCAGUCAGAUCAGGAGUAAAAUAAUGAAUAAAUGAGGGCAAGGUUAUAAUGUGAAGCAUACUGUACAAGAUUCUAUGCAGGACAAGUAUAUGUCAAAGUCGUUCCAUUGGUUACACCAAGCUAAGCAUCAACAACACAAUGAAAUCAUGUCUUGGAACCUCGCAGGAUUGAUAGUAAGGGCCAUGAACGAGAAGUGACAGUAGUGUACCAACUGGAAACAAUGGAACCUUAUGGCCAAUAUC